rnacentral:lncRNA from 1 species
CCAAACCUCCUGCCGGUAACUUUGGUGGCACAAGAUGGCGGAAUAGCGACACUGACGGUGGCAGCAAAACUUUGAUCACAAGAAGAAGAAGGUAACGACAUUAGGUUGUCAAGAGUUUCAUGUGGAAAAAGCUCAGAUAAGAGAAGAACCAAAGAAGCCAUUGAGAUCUAAAAUUUUCCUUUCAAAUAACAAAUUUUUG